CGAGUUCUCGUUGAUGAUCGGUGCUUGCACCGAGAUUCAACAUGGACCUAGUGGCGGACGGGUGAGUAACACGUGGGUAACCUGCCCUUAAGUGGGGGAUAACAUUUGGAAACAGAUGCUAAUACCGCAUAGAUCCAAGAACCGCAUGGUUCUUGGCUGAAAGAUGGCGUAAGCUAUCGCUUUUGGAUGGACCCGCGGCGUAUUAGCUAGUUGGUGAGGUAAUGGCUCACCAAGGCGAUGAUACGUAGCCGAACUGAGAGGUUGAUCGGCCACAUUGGGACUGAGACACGGCCCAAACUCCUACGGGAGGCAGCAGUAGGGAAUCUUCCACAAUGGACGCAAGUCUGAUGGAGCAACGCCGCGUGAGUGAAGAAGGCUUUCGGGUCGUAAAACUCUGUUGUUGGAGAAGAAUGGUCGGCAGAGUAACUGUUGUCGGCGUGACGGUAUCCAACCAGAAAGCCACGGCUAACUACGUGCCAGCAGCCGCGGUAAUACGUAGGUGGCAAGCGUUAUCCGGAUUUAUUGGGCGUAAAGCGAGCGCAGGCGGUUUUUUAAGUCUGAUGUGAAAGCCCUCGGCUUAACCGAGGAAGCGCAUCGGAAACUGGGAAACUUGAGUGCAGAAGAGGACAGUGGAACUCCAUGUGUAGCGGUGAAAUGCGUAGAUAUAUGGAAGAACACCAGUGGCGAAGGCGGCUGUCUGGUCUGUAACUGACGCUGAGGCUCGAAAGCAUGGGUAGCGAACAGGAUUAG
rnacentral:rRNA from 1 species